AGUGUGGGAGUGUGCGAGUGUGUGGCAUUACAAAAAUUGGGAAAUCUUUUAGCACCUUAAAUUUAGCUUCCUUGGAAAGAUGCGCCAGUUUGUCCGACACCCUCCACUCCACCUCUUCCCGGUUGUUUCUCUCAUUUUUCAUUUUCUUCUUCUCUCUCAAUUAUUUGGUUUUACUUUUGUCUCUCACAAUUUUGUCUCUCAAACGGUGAAUACACACAACACUGCAUUGCGUUUCCGUCGGUAAAAUUUAUUAAUUAUACCUUUUAUAUAAUUAUUUAAAAAAAAAGAAAUGAAUUUGCCCUUGUUUCUGCAAAUUCUCACUCGCGAGCACUCCCCCUUCUUCUUUCUCUCUCUCUUUCCCCUUACCUUUAUUGGUGCCUCUGUCCUCUUUCUUUUCUUCCGCAUCAACAACACACCUGAAAACUCUAUCUUCCUAUUCCUACUCUUUUGUUGCCUCAGAUUCCGAAUAAUUAAAAGAAAGAAAGCAACCCAAGUAAUGUCAGGUUUGUACAAUCCCAACUUCUCUCCUGCAAGAGCUGCUUCCCCUCAGAUUAGAACCAGCGGUGAUGCUGACAGCCAGUACCUGUCGGAGCUGUUGGCCGAGCAUCAGAAACUCGGACCCUUCAUGCAAAUCCUUCCUAUUUGUAGCCGACUUUUAAAUCAAGAGAUUUUGCGGGUUUCCGGAAUGAUGUCCAACCAAGGUUUUAGUGAAUUUGAGAGAUUACGACAUAGAAGCCCCAGUCCAAUGGCUUCUUCUAACCUUGUGUCAAAUAUUUCUGGCACAGGUUUUGGCAGCUGGAAUGGACUUCCUCAGGAGCCAAGGUUAAGUGGAAAUCCUGGAAUGACAAUGGACUGGCAAGGUGCUCCUGCAAGCCCUAGUUCAUUUACUGUAAAGAGGAUUUUGCGGUUGGAAAUUCCAGUGGACACAUAUCCGAAUUUCAAUUUUGUUGGACGGCUUCUUGGACCGAGAGGCAAUUCUCUGAAGCGGGUAGAAGCUACUACUGGAUGUCGCGUGUAUAUCAGAGGAAAGGGGUCAAUUAAAGAUCCAGAGAAGGAAGAGAAACUCCGAGGAAGACUUGGUUAUGAACAUCUGAACGAACCACUGCAUGUCCUAAUUGAGGCUGAUUUACCAGCCAAUAUCAUUGAUAUCAGGCUGAGACAGGCACAGGAAAUUAUAGAAGAACUACUCAAACCCGUGGACGAGCCAAAUGAUUAUAUCAAAAGACAACAAUUGCGUGAAUUAGCCAUGCUGAAUUCAAAUUUCAGAGAAGAGAGUCCUGGCCCCAGCGGUAGUGUUUCUCCUUUCAAUUCAAGCGGGAUGAAGCGUGCAAAAACUGGUCGCUGAGAGCUCACAUCACCGUCCAAUACAUUUUUCCUCUCUAUUAUGCAAAUUGAUCACUGAAAUGCCUGCCAACAGUAUUUUGUGACUCGAGAGGCGGAUUUACUUGAUGACACUCGCACUUAGCAAUGGUGAAUUCAGAUCCUUGUGCCAAAGCUAAGUCAAGCUCCCAAGACAAUCCUUUGAAUUGCAAUUUAUGUUAGGUAGGACUAGCAACUCGUGAGUAGUUAGUUGGCAUCGCACAUUUCUUCAUUUUUUUUUAUAGUUUCGCUUUACUGCACAAAUAUAAAACUGUGUUGAAUGGCCAUUCCAACGACAUUGCCUCUCCAACUCUAUGAUAAACUAAACCCAACAGGCCAGUCAAUGCCCACUCUUUGAUUUGAUUUGAUCGGAGGAGAAUAUCACAACACAGAGCAAAUAUGGAAACUGCUGUCACUUUCAUUUGAUUUGAUAUUUUCUCCUACAUGAGCAGCUGAAGCUCAAACGUCAUGGUAUUGAUGUCGGAGACAUCCUUUGAUGGUCAUUCCAUUCCCAAACUAACCAAUUCCUUCACCACCUGAUAUCUCUUUAUCGACUAUGUCCUUUGCUUUGCACUCAAGGAGAAGCCAUUUCUCCCUCCUAUUUUAUGGUACACAAUUUACGUCAGUGGACUGCUAAACAGCACUGAAUUUCCUUUGGUUAAA